AAAGACUGUCAUCCCCUACCGGG
rnacentral:piRNA from 1 species